rnacentral:lncRNA from 1 species
CAGACUUGUCAGAGUAAAGUCACUCCCCAUUUGACAUCAGAAUAGUUUUGAUCGUGUCUCAUUGGUUCGUGUCUGUGAAAGAUCACGUGAGUAACUAGUGUUGUUAAAAUGUUGCUACAGUAAUCAAUCGCUGCAACACUAGUUCCUCACGUGAUCCUCCACAGACACGUCAUAUGGGGUCUUGUUUUAUACUUUGUAUCACGCGCGAGUUUUACUGUACAACUCAUAGAAAUCAUUCUAGAAUAGGUCAGACGAACGCGAAGAAUUUGGGAAUGGUGAUCCUUUGGUUUCCAUGGAGAAGUUCCAUGUGAGAAGUGGAUCGGAGUGCACACCUUGAAAGUAUCUGAUUAAGUUCUCGUUUCUCAAUUCAUCACGCCGGUGUAACCGUUGUAUAAAGUUUAGGCCUUAUGUAAUCCUUCGAUAUAAAGCAGUUGACACAAUGUAUCAACUAUCAAUAAUUUGAUGGUGUAUCGAGUUAGCCCAAGCAUCGGUAGAGAAUGAACCACAGCAGAAACGUUGAUACGGCGGUAUGGAGCCAGGACGCUCUGUCUACCAACGUGAGCCUUACAAAUGACAGCAAGCGAAAGAAAAAGAGAAAGCACAAAACAAAAGAUAAAAAGAAGAGUGGUUCGACGAGAAGAGGACCGAGCUCGCCUUCAAACUCCGAUGAUGCAGCAGCAGAUAAACUCACCAACACUGAGCAGCAACAGGUCGUCAAAGGCUCCUCCUCCACACGGUCCAAACCCACCCUGAAGAGCUCCAACAGCAAAAAGACCAAGGCCAGAAGUCUGACCAGCCUCCGCAACAAUAAAUCCCAGCGAGAGGCAAUGAAACACGAGGAAACGUUGACAGGGCCAGACGCUGGUACCCACCAAGCCCCACUGUCAUGGGACCAGGCUGGCCAGAACGACCCAGCCAGGGAGAGCCUGAGGUGGGAUGGAGUUUUGGAGGAUCCGGUGGCCGAGGCAGAGAGGAUAGAGGUGUACAAGGCCAACCGGAGGAAACGGUACCUGGCCUCACAGCAGGGGGUGAUGGACUACUUGGGCUUGUUCAAGGGACACUUGGAGAGCAGUAGUGCCAUUACACACAAUAUCUAG